AGUGAACGCUGGCGGUAGGCCUAACACAUGCAAGUCGAACGGCAGCACAGUAAGAGCUUGCUCUUACGGGUGGCGAGUGGCGGACGGGUGAGGAAUACAUCGGAAUCUACUUUUUCGUGGGGGAUAACGUAGGGAAACUUACGCUAAUACCGCAUACGACCUACGGGUGAAAGCAGGGGAUCUUCGGACCUUGCGCGAUUGAAUGAGCCGAUGUCGGAUUAGCUAGUUGGCGGGGUAAAGGCCCACCAAGGCGACGAUCCGUAGCUGGUCUGAGAGGAUGAUCAGCCACACUGGAACUGAGACACGGUCCAGACUCCUACGGGAGGCAGCAGUGGGGAAUAUUGGACAAAGGGCGCAAGCCUGAUCCAGCCAUACCGCGUGGGUGAAGAAGGCCUUCGGGUUGUAAAGCCCUUUUGUUGGGAAAGAAAAGCAGCAGGUUAAUACCCAGCUGUUCCGACGGUACCCAAAGAAUAAGCACCGGCUAACUUCGUG
rnacentral:rRNA from 1 species